AGGCAGUUGGCCGAGUGGUUAUGGCGCUAGGUUUAGGCUACAUCAGCGAUCCCUAGUUUCGAAAGAUUCGCGAGUUCGAAUCUCGCACUGCCUA